rnacentral:rRNA from 1 species
GACCAGACUCCUACGGGAGGCAGCAGUGGGGAAUAUUGCACAAUGGGGGAAACCCUGAUGCAGCGACGCCGCGUGAGUGAAGAAGUAUUUCGGUAUGUAAAGCUCUAUCAGCAGGGAAGAAAAUGACGGUACCUGACUAAGAAGCCCCGGCUAACUACGUGCCAGCAGCCGCGGUAAUACGUAGGGGGCAAGCGUUAUCCGGAUUUACUGGGUGUAAAGGGAGCGUAGACGGCAUGGCAAGUCAGAUGUGAAAGCCCGGGGCUCAACCCCGGGACUGCAUUUGAAACUGUCAGGCUGGAGUGCAGGAGAGGUAAGUGGAAUUCCUAGUGUAGCGGUGAAAUGCGUAGAUAUUAGGAGGAACACCAGUGGCGAAGGCGGCUUACUGGACUGUAACUGACGUUGAGGCUCGAAAGCGUGGGGAGCAAACAGGAUUAGAUACCCCUGUAGC